GAAAAUAAUAUCGCCUCCUAUUAAACUCUAAAAAUUUCUUAUCUCAUUUAUUCGCCCACGUGCAUAAUUCCUCUAGCUACUAUUUAAAACUCAAUUUAAAUUCAAGCUAGGGCACAAAUAGCUUCUCAAAACACGGGUUGUUACAAAUAAUUAGGUAAAAUAGGCUAGGAUUACUAAGUACAUCGCUGAUGAGUAUUCCAGUCCUCAUCAGCUACUCCCCCCUGGUCUAGUUGAACAGCGUUCUCUUUGUUCAACUAGGGGUGUGUGGUGUGAAGUCAGCGCUGUGCUGCUCUCCCGUGUCAAUUAAGCAUACACGAUUCCCUGCGACUUAUUAGACAAGAACUGUCAAUCUUUGCAAAAAUGAUAACGACAAAGUAUUUUAAUGCUGGAAAUAAGCUGAGAUAAAAGAGAUAGCAAUUAUUCCUUUUGAUUCGUCGAACAUCAUUAAAGAUAAUAAGGGCUUAGAUAACCUGUGCUGGGAAGACUCAAGUGAUCUGCGUUGACAACCUCGCACCGACUGCGCUGCACCGACUGCGCUGACGACCCCGCGCUGACUGCGCUGACAACCCCGCGCUGACUGCGCUGCACCGACUGCGCUGACAACCCCGCGCUGACUGCGCUGCACUACCUGCACUGACAAAGAUGAUACACUCCCGCAUAGCGGCCCUUAAGAUGGUACAAAGAUGGUACACCCCCGCCGAAGCGGCCCUUAAGAUGGUACACCCCCGCCGAAGCGGCCCUUAAGAUGGUACACCCCCGCCGAAGCGGCCCUCAAGAUGGUACACCCCCGCCGAAGCGGCCCUCAAGAUGGUACACCCCCGCCGAAGCGGCCCUCAAGAUGGUACACCCCCGCCGAAGCGGCCCUUAAGAUGGUACACCCCUGCUAACUUUCGCGGCUUACGAUAUUCCUGCGCGGAGCAUAGACAAUCAAAGAACCCUGUCUAACUUUCGCGGCUUACGAUAUUCCUGCGCGGAGCAUAGACAUUCUGAACUGACAACGGCUCGGACAUUCUGCGCUGAAAACUACUGAGAUAACUGAGAUAGCUGCGCUGAGAUAGCUGUGCUGA
rnacentral:lncRNA from 1 species